UCCAGAAGCCUCGGCCGCCGAGGUGGGUCAGCAGAGUUUCCCACCCAAGCUUCUGGGUGUGAGUUUGGACAUCAAGGAUGAGUGGACCCUCCCAAGACCGGUGGAGAGCUUGGGGCAAGGACAUCACCUGCCAUAAACAAUGGGCACUGAGUUCACCAGUUGAGAUAAUGAAACCAAAACUGGAUAAUGCUGUUAGAAAAAAGAAUAAACAAGAAAAACUUUUCAAGUUGGAAAUAAAACAACUGGAAAACAAAGCCAAGAAUCUGGAGCGCCAGGUUUGCUUUGGAGUCCUGCAGCGGCGGUAUCCGUGCUGGCGGGAAGCGCUGGUCUCGCAGCGGGCUCCUCCCUGCGCCUGUGCCAGCUGCUCCUCGGUGAUCACUUGGUCAUUUACUGUCCUCAUCCCCCUCCCCAAGAUUACCGGCUUAUUAUUAGAAAUAUUUCUUGCAUAUACUAUAAAAAAACCUCAUGAAAUUAACGCUUAUGUGUGAUAAUAGAAAAGUGCCGGUUGGUUCCUUGAACAUAGCCGAUGCUCAGUGAAUGUUCACGGGAUGUGGGCUUGGUUUCUGAGUCACGUUGGAAGAGCGCAGACUCUGGACGCCCGUGGUGCGCGCUGGGGAGCAGCACAGCGCUGGGCACUGCGCAGCCUCAUCUGAGAGUCACGUAGAGGCGGGGGGACACGUUCCUGCACCAUUUUCUCUUACUUUGAAACUCGCCUAAGAAAGUGUUAGGCUGUAGUUUUAGGGGAAAAGGAUAUUUGCUUCAAGUAAGUUAUAACCUUGUCAUUCAGUGAGGAGCUUAUUUAAUAAGAUCUCAUUUCUGGAAAUGGAGGUAGGCAUUUAGAUGAAAUUUUAGGGAGAAAAUUUGCUUUUUCUAUGAUUUGCUUUAGAUUUUA
rnacentral:lncRNA from 1 species